UCGUUCACAAUUCUUCAAGGAACAAUCCCCAAUUUCUCAAAAAUUCAUCAGAUCCCCAAAUUGAAACUCAAUCCAUCACUGACGUUCCUCCCUCAUCGUCUCUGGCACGACUCCUUCACCUCGCCCCAUCGUUGUCACCAAUUUCCGUGAGCUCCAUCAGCCCCACAUCGCAACGCACAGGCUACUGAUCGUCGUUCGCAGCCGCUCAGCGUCGCUGUUGGACAAACGCUGCUGUCCGUGAGUCGCCAGCCUCCGUCAGUUUCCUACACCGCCAUUCGCAGCCGCUGCUAUCCGUCCGAUCACUUUAUCGCAGCGUCAAGAUCGGCAGCCCCGAUUCCCAUUAAAGAUUUGAAGAUUGAAGAUUUGAAGAUUUGAAUGUUGAAGAUAUGAAGAUUUGAAUGUUGAAGAUUUGAAGACUUUGCCGCUAGAGUUCUAGAGGGGGUUUUAGAAUAUGAUUUCAAAUACAAUUUAAUGAAAAGACAAUUAUACCCCCGUGUUGACAUAA